rnacentral:rRNA from 1 species
GACGAACGCUGGCGGCGUGCUUAACACAUGCAAGUCGAACGGAAAGGCCCUGCUUUUGUGGGGUGCUCGAGUGGCGAACGGGUGAGUAACACGUGAGUAACCUGCCCUUGACUUUGGGAUAACUUCAGGAAACUGGGGCUAAUACCGGAUAGGAGCUCCUGCUGCAUGGUGGGGGUUGGAAAGUUUCGGCGGUUGGGGAUGGACUCGCGGCUUAUCAGCUUGUUGGUGGGGUAGUGGCUUACCAAGGCUUUGACGGGUAGCCGGCCUGAGAGGGUGACCGGCCACAUUGGGACUGAGAUACGGCCCAGACUCCUACGGGAGGCAGAGGUGGGGAAUAUUGCCCAAUGGGCGGAAGCCUGAUGCAGCACCGCCGCGUGCGGGAUGACGGCCUUCGGGUUGUAAACCGCUUUCGCCUGUGACGAAGCGUGAGUGACGGUAAUGGGUAAAGAAGCACCGGCUAACUACGU